rnacentral:rRNA from 1 species
CCUACGGGUGGCAGCAGUAGGGAAUAUUGCUCAAUGGGGGAAACCCUGAAGCAGCAACGCCGCGUGGAGGAUGAAGGUUUUCGGAUUGUAAACUCCUUUUGUUAGAGAAGAUAAUGACGGUAUCUAACGAAUAAGCACCGGCUAACUCCGUGCCAGCAGCCGCGGUAAUACGGAGGGUGCAAGCGUUACUCGGAAUCACUGGGCGUAAAGGGCGCGUAGGCGGGAUAGUAAGUCAGAUGUGAAAUCCUAUGGCUUAACCAUAGAACUGCAUUUGAAACUGUUAGUCUAGAGUAUGGGAGAGGUAGGUGGAAUUCUUGGUGUAGGGGUAAAAUCCGUAGAGAGCAAGAGGAAUACUCAUUGCGAAGGCGACCUGCUAGAACAUAACUGACGCUGAUGCGCGAAAGCGUGGGGAGCAAACAGGAUUAGAUACCCCUGUAGUC